UCUCUGGUAAUAUAUUGGUUAGUAUGCGUGCCUGUCAUAAUUGUUUCUUGCCGUUGUAUCCCAGUCCAAGCUGGGUUCGACUCCCAACCUGAGAG